rnacentral:miRNA from 1 species
UCAACCGAGCCGAGGAGGAGG